rnacentral:rRNA from 1 species
GUCUGUGGCCACACCACCUAGAAUGAACCCGAUCUCAUCUAAUCUCAGAAGCAGGGCUGGGCCUGGUCAGUGCUUGGAUGGGAGAUAUGAGAACUAAAUGUAGCAUGUGAUCCUAGACU